rnacentral:snRNA from 1 species
CUUCCGCUUUCGCGUAUCUGCU